rnacentral:rRNA from 1 species
AUUGAACGCUGGUGGCAGGCCUAACACAUGCAAGUCGAACGAGUGGCGGACGGGUGAGUAAUGUCUGGGAAACUGCCUGAUGGAGGGGGAUAACUACUGGAAACGGUAGCUAAUACCGCAUACCAUCAGAUGUGCCCAGAUGGGAUUAGCUAGUAGGUGGGGUAACGGCUCACCUAGGCGACGAGCCCUAGCUGUUCUGAGAGGAUGACCAGCCACACGUGAACUGAGACACGGUCCAGACUCCGACGGGAGGCAGCAGUGGGGAAUAUUGCACAAUGGGCGCAAGCCUGAUGCAGCCAUGCCGCGUGUAUGAAGAAGGCCUUCGGGUUGUAAAGUACUUUCAGCGGGGAGGCGUUACCCGCAGAAGAAGCACCGGCUAACUCCGUGCCAGCAGCCGCGGUAAUUC